AUACGUGUAAUUGUUGCUUAAUCUAUUCCUUGUUUGCUAAGAAAGCAGGCCACCCCAGGCCCUCCUUGCCCUGACCAGUCUGGGUUCUUGCCACUGCCAGGGAAGUUGGUCUUUGACCAUUUUCAAACUGCUGCUUCCUCUCUGCUUCCAGCUUUGAAAGCCAACACAUCCUCCUGAGAGGGGACAAGACAAGCAGGGAUAUGUGGGCCACUGGAUCUUUGCCAGACUUCCCAGCUGCAGCCGAGUUCUUAGGGUUCCGUCAGCGCUGCAUCCCCAGGAGCCUCUGCCUCAGUGAGUGUCCUCUGGAGCCCCCAAGCCUCACCCGCCUCUGUGCCACUCUGAAGGACUGCCCGGGACCCCUGGAACUCCAAUUGUCCUGUGAGUUCCUGAGUGACCAGAGCCUGGAGACUCUGCUGGACUGCCUACCUCAACUCCCUCAGCUGAGCCUGCUGCAGCUGAGCCAGACGGGACUGUCCCCGAAAAGCCCCUUCCUGCUGGCCAACACCUUAAGCCUGUGUCCACGGGUUAAAAAGGUGGAUCUCAGGUCCC
rnacentral:sRNA from 1 species